UACGUAGGGUGCGAGCGUUAAUCGGAAUUACUGGGCGUAAAGCGUGCGCAGGCGGUUUGCUAAGACCGAUGUGAAAUCCCCGGGCUCAACCUGGGAACUGCAUUGGUGACUGGCAGGCUAGAGUAUGGCAGAGGGGGGUAGAAUUCCACGUGUAGCAGUGAAAUGCGUAGAGAUGUGGAGGAAUACCGAUGGCGAAGGCAGCCCCCUGGGAUGAUACUGACGCUCAUGCACGAAAGCGUGGGGAGCAAACAGG
rnacentral:rRNA from 1 species